GUACCCAGGACAGAACUGAGACCCACUGAAGAAAGGGUGCCUUCCCGGGAGGAGGUACCUGAGGGUUGAGAAGAGAGGCUAGGUUUUCAGUCCAAUGAAGCACUAAUGGAGUCAAAAAAAAAAAAAAAGCUGAGAUCAGCAGAUCCUUUUCCCACCUCACCAGACUUCCUGUGGGCCACUCACUUUGUGCACAGUUCCGAAGACGCCCGAGCCCAGCACUUUAAGCUUC